rnacentral:SRP_RNA from 1 species
GCCGGGCAUGGUGGUGCAUGCCUGUAAUCCCAGUUACUCGGGAGGCUGAGGCAGGGGAAUUGUUUGAACCCAGGAGGUGAAAGUUGCAGUGAGCAGAGAUCGAGCCACCGCACUCCAGCCUGGGUGAUAGAGCAAGACACUGUCUCAA